AGGUGCACCCAGAAACCCUUUGUGAACUUAUACCUAUUAUCGUUGCCUCGGCGCUGGCUGCCCUGUCUCUUCAGAGAUAGGGGCCCUCUCUUCGGAGGGACAGCAGGCCCGCCGGCGGCCUACUUAACUCUUGUUUUUACUGAGUAUCUUCUGAGUAAAGCUUCUAAAUGAAUCAAAACUUUCAACAACGGAUCUCUUGGUUCUGGCAUCGAUGAAGAACGCAGCGAAAUGCGAUAAGUAAUGUGAAUUGCAGAAUUCAGUGAAUCAUCGAAUCUUUGAACGCACAUUGCGCCCUCUGGUAUUCCAGAGGGCAUGCCUGUUCGAGCGUCAUUUCAACCCUCAAGCCUAGCUUGGUGUUGGGGCACUACCUGACUUUUUAGGACGGUAGGCCCUGAAAUUCAGUGGCGAGCUCGCCAGGACUCCGAGCGUAGUAGUAUAACCUCGCUUUGGAUCGUACUGGCGCGGCCCUGCCGUAAAACCCCCAACUUCUGAAAAUUUGACCUCGGAUCAGGAGGAAUACCCG
rnacentral:rRNA from 1 species